GAUGAACGCUGGCGGCGUGCCUAAUACAUGCAAGUCGAGCGAACGGACGAGAAGCUUGCUUUUCUGAUGUUAGCGGCGGACGGGUGAGUAACACGUGGAUAACCUACCUAUAAGACUGGGAUAACUUCGGGAAACCGGAGCUAAUACCGGACAAUAUUUUGAACCGCAUGGUUCAAAAGUGAAAGACGGUCUUGCUGUCACUUAUAGAUGGAUCCGCGCUGCAUUAGCUAGUUGGUAAGGUAACGGCUUACCAAGGCAACGAUGCAUAGCCGACCUGAGAGGGUGAUCGGCCACACUGGAACUGAGACACGGUCCAGACUCCUACGGGAGGCAGCAGUAGGGAACCUUCCGCAAUGGGCGAAAGCCUGACGGAGCAACGCCGCGUGAGGGAUGAAGGUCUUCGGAUCGUAAACCUCUGUUAUUAGGGAAGAACAUAUGUGUAAGUAACUGUGCACGUCUUGACGGUACCUAAUCAGAAAGCCACGGCUAACUACGUG
rnacentral:rRNA from 1 species